GACGAGGGGUGGCCGAGUAAGCAAGGCGAUGGACUGCUAAUCCGUUGUGCUCCGGCCCGCGUGGGUUCGAAUCCCAUUCUUGUCG